rnacentral:rRNA from 1 species
UUUACCUGUGUGACUGCGUACCUUUUGUAUAAUGGGUCAGCGACUUAUAUUCUGUAGCAAGGUUAACCGUAUAGGGGAGCCGAAGGGAAACCGAGUCUUAACCGGGCGUUAAGUUGCAGGGUAUAGACCCGAAACCCGGUGAUCUAGCCAUGGGCAGGUUGAAGGUUGGGUAACACUAACUGGAGGACCGAACCGACUAAUGUUGAAAAAUUAGCGGAUGACCUGUGGCUGGGGGUGAAAGGCCAAUCAAACCGGGAGAUAGCUGGUUCUCCCCGAAAGCUAUUUAGGUAGCGCCUCGUGAAUUCAUCUCCGGGGGUAGAGCACUGUUUCGGCUAGGGGGCCAUCCCGGCUUACCAACCCGAUGCAAACUGCGAAUACCGGAGAAUGUUAUCACGGGAGACACACGGCGGGUGCUAACGUCCGUCGUGAAGAGGGAAACAACCCAGACCGCCAGCUAAGGUCCCAAAGUCAUGGUUAAGUGGGAAACGAUGUGGGAAGGCCCAGACAGCCAGGAUGUUGGCUUAGAAGCAGCCAUCAUUUAAAGAAAGCGUAAUAGCUCACUGGUCGAGUCGGCCUGCGCGGAAGAUGUAACGGGGCUAAACCAU